CCUACGGGUGGCUGCAGUGGGGAAUAUUGCACAAUGGGGGGAACCCUGAUGCAGCGACGCCGCGUGAGUGCAGAAGUCUUUCGGUAUGUACAGCUCUUUCAGCAGGGAAGAAGAAAGACUAUACCUGACCAUGAAGCCCCGGCUAACUACGUGCCAGCAGCCGCGUGAAUACGGAGGGGGCAAGCGUUAUCCGGAUUUACUGGGUGUAAAGGUAGCGUAGACGGCAGGGCAAGUCUGGAGUGAAAGGCAGGGGCCCAACCCCGGGACUGCUCUGGAAACUGUCGGGCUGGAGUGCAGGAGAGGUAAGUGGAAUUCCUAGUGUAGCGGUGAAAUGCGUAGAUAUUAGGAGGAACACCAGUGGCGAAGGCGGCUUACUGGACUGUAACUGACGUUGAGGCUCGAAAGCGUGGGGAGCAAACAGGAUUAGAUACCCCAGUAGUC
rnacentral:rRNA from 1 species